CAAUAGCGUAUAUUUAAGUUGCUGCAGUUAAAAAGCUCGUAGUUGGAUUUCGGGUGGGAAUGGCCGGUCCGCCGUUUCGGUGUGCACUUGCUACGCCCACCUUGCUGCCGGGGACGUGCUCUUGAGUUCACGCUCGGGACACGGAGUCGGCGAGGUUACUUUGAGUAAAUUAGAGUGUUCAAAGCAGGCCUACGCUCUGAAUACAUUAGCAUGGAAUAACACGAUAGGACUCUGGCCUAUCUUGUUGGUCUGUAGGACCGGAGUAAUGAUUAAGAGGGACAGUCGGGGGCAUUCGUAGUUCAUUGUCAGAGGUGAAAUUCUUGGAUUUAUGAGAGACGAACUACUGCGAAAGCAUUUGCCAAGGAUGUUUUCAUUAA
rnacentral:rRNA from 1 species